rnacentral:rRNA from 1 species
AUACGGAGGCUGCAAGCGUUACUCGGAAUCACUGGGCGUAAAGCGCGCGCAGGCGGCCAUUUAAGUUGGAUGUGAAAGCCUACGGCUCAACCGUAGAACUGCAUCCAAAACUAUUUGGCUAGAGUGUGGGAGAGGAAGAUGGAAUUAGUUGUGUAGGGGUAAAAUCCGUAGAGAUAACUAGGAAUACCAAAAGCGAAGGCAAUCUUCUGGAACACUACUGACGCUGAGGCGCGAAGGCGUGGGGAGCAAACAGGAUUAGAAACCCCGGUAGUCC